GAGGGGGAGGGAUCAUAGCAUCCGACAGAUUGAAACGUGGCCUUUUUCAAAAUCGUAACUACGAUGUUCCGUGAGAUUUCCCCGAAUCCGGAUCCCCGGGCUGUGGACCCUUUGAUAAUACCCGGAGAACUUCUCCACUCAAGUUGAAGAGUGGGUUUUUUGGAGAAUCUGACUGCAGUUUCUUGGCAGGAGAUACUUUUUGCUCCCAAGAAAAGGGAAUGAGUAUUCAGUAAAAAGAAACAAGCCGUUUAGAUGGAUUAACUAUCUAUCAUCGUUCGAUGUUUCAUUGAUUGUAGGAUGAGACCGAUGAAAUCCUAAGGAGGAUUCGUGGCCAAAGAGGGGUUAUUGGAAUUAUAGUUAUGGAUGCCCACGGCAUUCCAUUGAAAACAACCCUAAGUAGCUAUUCAUCAGUUCAGUAUGCAGGGUACCUUCAGCCGCUCACACAGGUAGCGCACAGCACAGUGAGAGAGAUCGAUCCCGAGGAUGCCCUGACUUUUCUUAGAAUUAGAACCCAGCAAUACGAAAUCAUCGUGACCCCAGAUAGGGGAAAUCAUCUAGUUGCUUUGCAGAAUCCAAAUGAAUAGACCUUCUGCUGGAUUAGAUCUUGCAUGAAUGAAACCGUACUUUAAAAAAUGCUCAAUCUUUCAUUGUUCCUUCCUGAAUUUACCAAUAUAUUCAGCCUGUCUUCACCAAAACUGUUUCUAGCACAGUUACUUAGUUUUUGUUUCUCAUUGUAUUUUCAAAGUGUGCUCUGGCAAGGUGUAAUGCAUACGUCAAGAUCCGACGCGAGUGGCCGUGCUCAAUGUUUAACAUAAUAAAAAUGAAUUUGUG